AUUGAACGCUGGCGGCAUGCCUUACACAUGCAAGUCGAACGGCAGCGGGCCUUCGGGUGCCGGCGAGUGGCGAACGGGUGAGUAAUGCAUCGGAACGUGCCAUUGAGUGGGGGAUAACGUAGCGAAAGUUACGCUAAUACCGCAUAUUCUGUGAGCAGGAAAGCAGGGGACCGCAAGGCCUUGCGCUCUUUGAGCGGCCGAUGUCAGAUUAGCUAGUUGGUGAGGUAAAGGCUUACCAAGGCGACGAUCUGUAGCGGGUCUGAGAGGAUGAUCCGCCACAUUGGAACUGAGACACGGUCCAGACUCCUACGGGAGGCAGCAGUGGGGAAUUUUUGGACAAUGGGCGCAAGCCUGAUCCAGCCAUGCCGCGUGAGUGAAGAAGGCCUCGGUUGUAAGUACGUC
rnacentral:rRNA from 1 species